CGGAAAGAAAGAGUAAAGCAAGCGUUUCACAAAUUCUCUUUUGCAGCCGCCAAUUGAUUUUUUCGCUUUUAAUAAAAUCCUCAAAGGAAAGAAACCCGACUUCUAUUUGCAUUCUUUUUCUCAUAUAUUCAUCGAAACUUAGAAACAGUGUUUGCUAAUCACCGCAAGAAAGGUACUGCUAAGCCAUGGCCAAGAGCUCCUUCAAGUUG
rnacentral:misc_RNA from 1 species